rnacentral:sRNA from 1 species
GGUAUUCCUUAUCUAUCUAAUCGUUGAUUAAUCUGGAACCUGUCCCAUUGAAUUCUCGCCAGAGAAUGCAAUAAGACAGGUUCUGCGUUUAGUUGCCGCGCUCUAAAA